GACAGCCGCUAGAACCAUUUUCUUUCCCUAAAACCUAGGAGCAUAGUGAUAUAAAAUCAGCCGCAACGCUAUCAUCCUUAUCUUCUCCUACAACGCUCAAUAGUUUAUUUUCUUAACUAUUGAAAAUCCCAAAAUCGACAAUUAUCAUCACUAGACAAUCAACGAGUUUGAGGUUUGAUAGUAUCGAUUUGAACAAAAAAAAUUUAUUAAGUAAGGUUUUCUGUUGAGAAUUUCGAUCUAAAUAAAAAUGAUUUUAUUUAGUAAGGUUUUUCGUUGAAGAUUUCGAUCUGAGCCUCUAAAGGUCUUGAUAUUAUUGUUGCACUGUCCAUAAUCGGGAACUUUCUUCCAUUAAAGGCUGGUAGCUUUGUAACUUCGUAGAAUUUCCUUUUCCAUUCUUGGUUUGUCUUCUAUCCAAGCUCUUCGUAGAAGGUACGUGUGUAGGUCCGUCCAUCCGUUUUCAGUGAUUCCUCUUGCUUAGUGGCACUUAUGACACGUUUGAUGGUCUUGGUUCGGACGAGAUAGAUGGAAAAGAAUUAAGUCGAUGACAGGGGUAAUUUUCUUCCCACUCCGAGGCAUAUUGAUCUGGAUCCCUGGGAACAGUUCUUUGAGAAAUAGAUGGCUCGGUUCCACUGGGAGAUGGGAAACUAUAUGCGCUCUUCUUCCUUAGGGAAAUGAGAAGGCCAGUCCUCUCAUUUUCGGUCCCUUCUUUUCGAUAAGGGGAGGCUAUUCUUUAAAAGAAUAGGUAUGUUCAACUAGUUAUUUGAACUAUUCAAUAAGAAAGGGUCUAUUUAUACCAACAAUAUAGAAUAAUUAUUACCCCCCGCCACAGGCCAAUGUGCACGACUUCCCAUAUGCCUUAUAGGCUAAUAGCUUCGUAACUUCAUAGAUUUACCUCUUCCAUUCUAGUUCUAUCUUUCUCCAAGAUCUUCGUGGAAGGUUAGUCAAUUUGUUGUUA